rnacentral:rRNA from 1 species
AACGCGAAGAACCUUACCUGGGCUCGAAAUGCUAUGGACCGGGGUGGAAACAUCCCUUCCCCGCAAGGGGCCGUAGUAUAGGUGCUGCAUGGCUGUCGUCAGCUCGUGUCGUGAGAUGUUGGGUUAAGUCCCGCAACGAGCGCAACCCUUACUUCCAGUUGCCAUCAUUUAGUUGGGCACUCUGGCAGAACCGCCUCGGAUAACGGGGAGGAAGGUGGGGAUGACGUCAAGUCCUCAUGGCCUUUAUGUCCAGGGCUACACACGUGCUACAAUGGCCGGUAUAAACCGCUGCAAACCCGCGAGGGGGAGCUAAUCGGAAAAAGCCGGCCUCAGUUCGGAUUGCAGUCUGCAACUCGACUGCAUGAAGCUGGAAUCGCUAGUAAUCGCAGAUCAGAAUGCUGCGGUGAAUACGUUCCCGGGCCUUGUACACACCGAGACGAC